UCCAUACGGGGCGUGCACACGACGCCUGGAAUCCAUUCUAUGCUCGCGUAGCAGGUACUGACAGCAGCAGGAGCGAAACGUCGGUGUUGCACAGCGGUGUCACAGAGCCACCGCGCUGCGAUCACUUUGGCGGCACGCUCCAAAUUGGAGGCACGCUCCAAAUUUGUCAGACAUCUCAUUCCGUGCUGGAAACACUGGGAGGCAGGAAGUUUGAAAAAAUGGUCACUGCCGCCCACAAUGUCUCCGUCGCGGGUUCGUUAGGCCAGUUGUGCGUCAUUCUAAGCCGUUUUGUACAUUUAUAGUGGAUAUUAACUGGAGUCAUUUAGCUGUGCUGAUGCUGUUUGCCGUGUGUAUUGCAUCAGUGCUUCGUGACAUCGGCUGUAUUGCGUGUUUUCGCCGACGGCUUACUGCCACAAUGGCGGGAUCUGCGUUCGCCGCCUUCGUGUCUCGGUGCGGCUUUGUACGUCGCACGUUCGGAUAACACUUUUUCCGACGGCUGGACAUCCUUCUUGUACCUUGGCGCUAGCUGGAUGACGGGACCUCAUCAUGAUCAGUGAAGCCAAUGUACUGUACCCUCUAUGGUCCUCCCAGUGCUUUUUUAUAUGGCUUAAGGCCAGGGAGCGCUUCGUGGUAAAAUAGCUAGUUGGUGUCUCACAAACGGGCAUUUUUUUGCACUGGUCCAUUAUAAGCUGCCACUACUAUAACCAAUUUCUCAGCGCCAGUGUACAUAAACAGUUCUACUAAUUAUUAGUUUCCCUAAGCAUUACAAAAUUUACCUGUAGGUAGUCACUGCUAUGUAAGAAAAAAAUUAACUCUUGUGUCAUACGAGUAUUCCAUACAUGAGUAAAAAUUUGCUACAACAGUGUACAUUACACCUUGCUUCCCUAAUGCACAAAUGUAUUCAAGCCAGUAUUUGAUUAGUUCGGUAUUCUAAACGUUUUCUGUGAUUUAGUUUGUUCACAGCAAUUUACUGUACAGCAUCAGCAAGCAGUCUAAUUUAAGAGUUAUGCGUGCUGUAAAAGGUGUGCUUUGCUGCUAGAAUUUAUAAAACAUGGGCCGAGGCUUCCAUACAAAGACGACCUUCAAUUUAGCUCUACCACCGUGAGCACUUGGCUGGCACUUGCAAAAUAAAUCACACCAGGUAGCUUGUGCCAGACUGUUUUUUAACCUUAUUGUGAGGAGAUCACACAGUGAUGUGUGGAGGCGCCUGCAUCUGAGAUAUAGAUUGCGCUGCAACAUAUUUGCAUGUAGAACAGGCAUGAUGCUGAGGGUUCCAGCAGUUUGCAGAAGUCUUUUAAAAUUUUGUCAUAACUAAUUUUACCUGCGCUGUUUUUAUCACCUAUUUCAAUACUAUCAUUGGAGGUGUUAUCAGAAUUUAGCAAUCUAUUUGCCCUAGCCCAUUAGCCUGCCACAUUUGCCUUUUCACUAGGUGGGCAAUUAUUCAGCAUGGACCAUUACUUGAAUACACCUUUUUGUGCGCAGUGGCUUCUCAAUUGCGAAUCAACAUAGAUGCUCAGAAUUACCUGAGGCUAUAGAUGCACUGAUGAAUUUGCUACCUAUAUGAAUAACUUUGCACUUUCUCACGCAAACAGCAUGUUAAGACUUCUAAGACAGUGGGCAAUGUUAUCAUUUGAUCACACCAUGAGAUACCUUCAAUUUUGUAUGGCGCAUCACCAAGGUGUUGCAUCAUUUGUGUGAGGUAUUGCCGUAAGCCAAUUAGGGUCACAUGAAAAUAUAUCAACAAAAGUGAUUGAUCCAGCUAGGGGUGUUGCUUUGGAACACUACUUUAUCACCAGUCCUCCUUUGUAUUCUACAUGCUUACUCUGUACUGUGUCAUGUUUAACUUUGAAAGAAAGGAAACAGCUAGGCAGCGCAAAAUGCCAAACUUGAUUUUAGUUCAACAAUAUAAAACUCUAUUUAACUUUUUAAUUAAGUCAGUACAUCAUACCUGCAGAGUGGAUUACUGUGUUAAACUGAUUAUAUUUUGCAGGAAGCUUCUCAGACUUGUUUGACAGGUUGAUAAGUGGCUUUUUAGCCACAAAACACCAUAUAUUAAUUUAAAGGCUGACUUUGACUCUGCUUUGCAAUUUAAUGACUAUAUGCCAGGAAAUAUACUAGUCAUAUCAAAUAUUAUCACAUACAAACCUUAAAAUACCUGUAAUUUAAGAGAAAGGAGUGCUUAAAUUUAUUUUUAAUGUGAGCCAAACUUCUUACUUAGCACAUAUUGCUAAUUCAAGUUCCAAUUUCAAUAUUCCCAUUUCCUCCCUCGCCUUUUAUUCCCCUCUUCUUUGCAGGUAUUGCUUGCCUAUGUCUACAAGAACCAUCACGCGUGACCUGUGACAGCAAGCUUCUGUGGGCAGGCAGUGCUCUCCUAUGAAGGCUGGCCUGCUCUGGCAGCGGCGGCAUUCAUCUUCAAGAUUUAUCCAUGAUCGCAUUUGUUUGUCACUCUUGUUAUUUACACUUUCUGUAUCUUUUCUAAUUUAUUAGGUAAUAAAGUAGGAGUAUGUGA